GGUGUCAUCUUAGUAUUUACAACCAUCAGUUAGGAUUACAUUGACAGCAUCUAGUGGGAGGGAGAGUCCACUAGACCCCAUGGCUGGAAAUCUGAAGAAAGAAAGCUGGCAUGCGUUAUAAAAUCACAAGAAUAGCCAGCACCAUCUCCACAGGCUGUGGAACCCCGCGCGAUACCAAGGGGAUUGGAGCAAGCAAGUUACACUCUCUGCUUCUCUUUCUAAGAAGCAUCACUCUGGCUGCUGAGUGGAAAGGAGAUUUUAAGACUGCUGUUGGGGAAGGAGGAAGACCAGUUGGGAGGC
rnacentral:lncRNA from 10 species